rnacentral:rRNA from 1 species
UUAUUUGAAAUAGGAUACAACCUCCCCCACUGGGUAAAAUGGGUAAUAAAAACAAAGUGGGCCCAAAAGCAGCCACCUUUAAGAAAGCGUCAAAGCUUAACUAAUGCGACCCCAAAUUACUAAAACAUACACUAACCCCUCAUUACUACUGAACCAUUUUAUAUAGUAUAAAGACGAUUAUGCUAGAACUAGUAACAAGAACUUGCCAUUCUCCACAAUGUAAAUAUAAACCAAAACGGACACUCCAUUGGUAAUCAACGUAAAUGCAAAACCAUAAUAACACAAAACCAGAAAACCUUAUGGCCACCAUACGUUACCCUGACACCAGAACAUUAUAGGAAAGAUUAAAAGAAAGAGAAGGAACUCGGCAAAUAUUAGCCCCGCCUGUUUACCAAAAACAUCGCCUCCUGAUUAAACAUAAGAGGUCCAGCCUGCCCAGUGACAACAUUCAACGGCCGCGGUAUUCUGACCGUGCGAAGGUAGCAUAAUCACUUGUUCUCUAAAUAAGGACUAGUAUCAACGGCAUCACGAGGGCUAUACUGUCUCCCCCCUCCAAUCAGUGAAACUGAUCCCCCCGUGAAGAAGCGGGGAUUUAAUU